rnacentral:rRNA from 1 species
GACGAACGCUGGCGGCGUGCCUAAUACAUGCAAGUCGAACGAGAGCGACCGGUGCUUGCACUGGUCAAUCUAGUGGCGAACGGGUGAGUAACACGUGGGUAACCUGCCCAUCAGAGGGGGAUAACAUCCGGAAACGGAUGCUAAAACCGCAUAGGUCUUCGAGCCGCAUGGCUUGAAGAGGAAAAGAGGCGCAAGCUUCUGCUGAUGGAUGGACCCGCGGUGCAUUAGCUAGUUGGUGAGGUAACGGCUCACCAAGGCCGUGAUGCAUAGCCGACCUGAGAGGGUGAACGGCCACAUUGGGACUGAGACACGGCCCAAACUCCUACGGGAGGCAGCAGUAGGGAAUCUUCCGCAAUGGACGCAAGUCUGACGGAGCAACGCCGCGUGAGUGAAGAAGGUUUUCGGAUCGUAAAACUCUGUUGUUAGAGAAGAACAAGUGCUAGAGUAACUGUUAGCGCCUUGACGGUAUCUAACCAGAAAGCCACGGCUAACUACGUGCCAGCAGCCGCGGUAAUACGUAGGUGGCAAGCGUUGUCCGGAUUUAUUGGGCGUAAAGCGAGCGCAGGCGGUUCCUUAAGUCUGAUGUGAAAGCCCCCGGCUCAACCGGGGAGGGUCAUUGGAAACUGGGGAACUUGAGUGCAGAAGAGGAGAGUGGAAUUCCAUGUGUAGCGGUGAAAUGCGUAGAUAUAUGGAGGAACACCAGUGGCGAAGGCGACUCUCUGGUCUGUAACUGACGCUGAGGCUCGAAAGCAUGGGUAGCAAACAGG